rnacentral:pre_miRNA from 1 species
UUAAAUCAAAUUUGUAUGGAUUUGGAACGUUUGCCUACGUUUGCCGCUAGGGGCGCUGUUCUAACUACAUACAAUUUUGAGUUA